rnacentral:tRNA from 1 species
AAAGGUGUAGCUCAGUGGUAGAGUGUGUGCCUAGCAUGCACGAAGUCCUGAGUUCAGUUCCCAGUAUCUCCA